rnacentral:rRNA from 1 species
GACGAACGCUGGCGGCGUGCUUAACACAUGCAAGUCGAACGGAAAGGCCCUGCUUUUGUGGGGUGCUCGAGUGGCGAACGGGUGAGUAACACGUGAGUAACCUGCCCUUGACUUUGGGAUAACUUCAGGAAACUGGGGCUAAUACCGGAUAGGAGCUCCUGCUGCAUGGUGGGGGUUGGAAAGUUUCGGCGGUUGGGGAUGGACUCGCGGCUUAUCAGCUUGUUGGUGGGGUAGUGGCUUACCAAGGCUUUGACGGGUAGCCGGCCUGAGAGGGUGACCGGCCACAUUGGGACUGAGAUCAGGCCCAGACUCCUACGGGAGGCAGCAGUGAGGAAUAUUGCACGAUGGGCGGAAGCCUGAUGCAGCAACGCCGCGUGCGGGAUGACGGCCUUCGGGUUGUAAACCGCUUUCGCCUGUGACGAAGCGUGAGUGACGGUAAUGGGUAAAGAAGCACCGGGUAACUACGUG